rnacentral:misc_RNA from 1 species
GAAAUGCGAUAAGUAAUGUGAAUUGCAGAAUUCAGUGAAUCAUCGAAUCUUUGAACGCACCUUGCGCUCCUUGGUAUUCCGAGGAGCAUGCCUGUUUGAGUGUCAUGGAAUUCUCAACUCUAUUUGCUUUUGUGAAUAGAGCUUGGAUUUGGAGGUUUAUUGCUGGUACUUGUGAUCGGCUCCUCUUGAAUGCGUUAGCUCGAACCUUUGCGGAUCAGCUAUCGGUGUGAUAAUUGUCUACGCCGUUGCAGUGAAGCAUAUCAAUGGGCUCGGCUUCCAAUCGUCCUUUACUGGACAAUGACUUUGACCUUUGACCUCAAAUCAGGUAGGAUUACCCGCUGAACUUAAGC